CAAAAUGUAGCUAACAAAGCAUUUCGCUUACACCGAAAAUAUGUCUGUUAAACCCAAACCAUUUUGA
rnacentral:tRNA from 1 species